rnacentral:rRNA from 1 species
AGAACGAACGCUGGCGGCAGGCUUAACACAUGCAAGUCGAGCGCCCAGCAAUGGGAGCGGCGGACGGGUGCGUAACACGUGGGAACAUGCCUUUCGGUACGGAACAACUGCGGGAAACUGCAGCUAAUGCCGUAUACGCCCUUACGGGGAAAGAUUUAUCGCCGAAAGAUUGGCCCGCGUCUGAUUAGCUAGUUGGUGAGGUAACGGCUCACCAAGGCUUCGAUCAGUAGCUGGUUUGAGAGAACGACCAGCCACACUGGGACUGAGACACGGCCCAGACUCCUACGGGAGGCAGCAGUGGGGAAUCUUGGACAAUGGAGGAAACUCUGAUCCAGCCAUGCCGCGUGAGUGAUGAAGGCCCUCGGGUUGUAAAACUCUUUUACCCGGGAAGAUAAUGACUGUACCGGGAGAAUAAGCUCCGGCUAACUUCGUGCCAGCAGCCGC